UCAGAGAUUAAGAGCACUGACUGCU
rnacentral:piRNA from 1 species